ACUGAUGAUGAUGAUGAUACUACUGAUGAUGCUGAUACUACUGAUGAUGAUGCUGAUGAUGAUGCUGAUGAUGUUUCCAGGAACUCUCUUCACUCCCAACUUUGCGAACAACGCCAGCACCCAGCUGUCUCCGCCUUGCCGCUGUGCACGGAGCGCCAACUUAGUCCCAGAAUGUGAAGAGCUGAGAAGAACGUUCACUGAGAACACGUGCCUGGAAGCCUCCAUCCUGUCCUUGACCAAUGGCGUGCCAGCGUCGGGACCCCGCCCACCAACGCCGACCAAUCAGGCGGCGCCUCCAGCGACUGGGGGCGGGGCGAAGGGGAGCUCGGCCAAUGAGGAGAGGGGCGAUCGCGAUAAUUCGUCAUCAAAGUUGCUGUCUAUGACGUCUCCUGGCAUCGUGCUGCUGCUGAUGAUGAUUUUGACGAUAAUUUGAUUUGAUUUUAAUAGUUGGGAAUUAUCAAUGCCACCUUAGCACACUCAGUCACCCACUCACUCAACCACUCACCCACCUACUCAGUCACUCACCCACUCAACCACUCACUCACCCAC